UGGGGGAUAUUGCACAAUGGAGGAAACUCUGAUGCAGCAACGCCGCGUGAGGGAAGAAGGUUUUCGGAUUGUAAACCUCUGUUUUUAGUGAAGAAACAAAUGACGGUAGCUAAAGAGGAAGCCACGGCUAACUACGUGCCAGCAGCCGCGGUAAUACGUAGGUGGCAAGCGUUGUCCGGAAUUACUGGGUGUAAAGGGUGCGCAGGCGGGAUUGCAAGUUGGAUGUGAAAUACCGGGGCUUAACCCCGGAGCUGCAUCCAAAACUGUAGUUCUUGAGUGGAGUAGAGGUAAGCGGAAUUCCGAGUGUAGCGGUGAAAUGCGUAGAUAUUCGGAGGAACACCAGUGGCGAAGGCGGCUUACUGGGCUCUAACUGACGCUGAGGCACGAAAGCAUGGGUAGCAAACAGGAUUAGAUACCCUGGUAGUCCAUGCUGUAAACGAUGAAUGCUAGGUGUGGGGGGACUGACCCCUUCCGUGCCGGAGUAAACACAAUAAGCAUUCCACCUGGGGAGUACGACCGCAAGGUUGAAACUCAAAGGAAUUGACGGGGGCCCGCACAAGCAGUGGAGUAUGUGGUUUAAUUCGAAGCAACGCGAAGAACCUUACCAGGUCUUGACAUCUGGCUAACGAAGUAGAGAUACAUUAGGUGCCCUUCGGGGAAAGCCAAGACAGGUGGUGCAUGGUUGUCGUCAGCUCGUGUCGUGAGAUGUUGGGUUAAGUCCCGCAACGAGCGCAACCCCUGCCGAUAGUUGCUACGCAAGAGCACUCUAUCGGGACCGCUACCGACAAGGUGGAGGAAGGUGGGGACGACGUCAAAUCAUCAUGCCCCUUAUGACCUGGGCUACACACGUACUACAAUGGCCGUUAACAGAGGGAAGCAACACCGCGAGGUAGAGCAAAACCCUAAAAACGGUCCCAGUUCAGAUUGUAGGCUGCAACUCGCCUAUAUGAAGUUGGAAUCGCUAGUAAUCGCGGAUCAGAAUGCCGCGGUGAAUACGUUCCC
rnacentral:rRNA from 1 species